rnacentral:rRNA from 1 species
GACGAACGCUGGCGGCGUGCUUAACACAUGCAAGUCGAACGGUAAGGCCCCAGCUUGCUGGGGUACACGAGUGGCGAACGGGUGAGUAACACGUGGGUGACCUGCCCCGCACUUCGGGAUAAGCCUGGGAAACUGGGUCUAAUACCGGAUAGGACCGCACCGUGAGGGUGUGGUGGAAAGUUUUUCGGUGUGGGAUGGGCCCGCGGCCUAUCAGCUUGUUGGUGGGGUAAUGGCCUACCAAGGCGGCGACGGGUAGCCGGCCUGAGAGGGUGGACGGCCACAUUGGGACUGAGAGACGGCGCAGACUGGUACGGGAGGCAGCAGUGGGAAAUAUUGCAGAGUGGCGGGAAGCCUGUGGCAGCGACCCCGCGUGGGGAAUAAUGGCUUUCGGGUUGUAAACACAUUUCACAGUAGCUGAAGGUUUCUUGACGGUAGAUGGUGAGAAAGCACCGGCUAACUACGUG